rnacentral:rRNA from 1 species
CCUACGGGUGGCAGCAGUGAGGAAUAUUGGUCAAUGGGCGCAAGCCUGAACCAGCCAAGCCGCGUGAAGGAAGAAGGUCCUAUGGAUUGUAAACCUCUUUUGUCGGGGGGCAAAAGACGCCACGCGUGGCGUUCCGAGAGUACUCGAAGAAAAAGCAUCGGCUAACUCCGUGCCAGCAGCCGCGGUAAUACGGAGGAUGCGAGCUUUAUCCGGAUUUAUUGGGUUUAACGGGUGCGCAGGCGGAAGAUCAAGUCAGCGGUAAAAUCGAGGGGCUCAACCGCGUCGAGCCGUUGAAACUGGUUUGCUUGAGUGAGCGAGAGGUAUGCGGAAUGCGUGGUGUAGCGGUGAAAUGCAUAGAUAUCACGCAGAACUCCGAUUGCGAAGGCAGCAUACCGGCGCUGAACUGACGCUCAGGCACGAAAGUGUGGGUAUCGAACAGGAUUAGAUACCCUUGUAGUC